rnacentral:rRNA from 1 species
ACGAACGCUGGCGGCGUGCUUAACGCAUGCAAGUCGAACGGAAGGGCCCUGCUUUUGUGGGGUGCUCGAGUGGCGAACGGGUGAGUAACACGUGAGUAACCUGCCCUUGACUUUGGGAUAACUUCAGGAAACUGGGGCUAAUACCGGAUAGGAGCUCCUGCUGCAUGGUGGGGGUUGGAAAGUUUCGGCGGUUGGGGAUGGACUCGCGGCUUAUCAGCUUGUUGGUGGGGUAGUGGCUUACCAAGGCUUUGACGGGUAGCCGGCCUGAGAGGGUGACCGGCCACAUUGGGACUGAGAUACGGCCCAGACUCCUACGGGAGGCAGCAGUGGGGAAUAUUGCACAAUGGGCGGAAGCCUGAUGCAGCAACGCCGCGUGCGGGAUGACGGCCUUCGGGUUGUAAACCGCUUUCGCCUGUGACGAAGCGUGAGUGACGGUAAUGGGUAAAGAAGCACCGGCUAACUACGUG